ACGUAUGGGGCAAGCGUUGUUCGGAUUUAUUGGGCGUAAAGGGCGUGUAGGCGGCUCAUCAAGUCUGGUGUGAAAUCGCAGGGCUUAACCCUGCAUAUGCGCUGGAAACUGGUGGGCUUGAGUUCUUGAGGGGAAGCUGGAAUUCCAGGUGUAGGGGUGAAAUCUGUAGAUAUCUGGAAGAACACCGGUGGCGAAGGCGAGCUUCUAUCAGAGGACUGACGCUGAGGCGCGAAAGCGUGGGGAGCAAACAGGAUUAGAUACCCUGGUAGUCCACGCUGUAAACGAUGUGCACUAGGCGUGGGGCCCGUACGGGUUCUGUGCCGUAGCUAACGUGUUAAGUGCACCGCCUGGGGAGUAUGCUCGCAAGGGUG
rnacentral:rRNA from 1 species